rnacentral:rRNA from 1 species
UCAAGUCCUUAAGGGCACGGGGGGGAUGCCUAGGCGUCAUCAGAUGACGGGCGUGUUGGCUGCGAUAAGUCCGGGGGAGCUGCCCAAAGAGCGUCGAUCCCGGAGUACCCGUCGGAGACGCGGGGAACUGAAACAUCUCAGUACCCGGAGGAAAAGAAAUCAACCGAGAUUCCGCAAGUAGUGGCGAGCGAACGCGGAGGAGCCUGUACGUGAUAACUGUCGAGAUAGAAGAACAAGCUGGGAAGCUUGACCAUAGUGGGUGAUAGUCCCGUAUUCGAAAUCUCAAUAGUGGUACUAAGCGUACGAAAAGUAGGGCGGGACACGUGAAAUCCUGUCUGAACAUGGGGGGACCACCCUCCAAGCCUAAGUACUCGUGCAUGACCGAUAGUGAACCAGUACCGUGAGGGAAAGGUGAAAAGUACCCCGGGAGGGGAGUGAAAUAGUACCUGAAACCGUGUGCCUACAAGCCGUCAGAGCCUGGACUUGUCCGGUGAUGGCGUGCCUUUUGAAGAAUGAGCCUGCGAGUUAGCGGUACGUGGCGAGGUUAACCCGUGUGGGGUAGCCGUAGCGAAAGCGAGUCCGAACAGGGCGUUUCAGUCGCGUGCUCUAGACCCGAAGCGGGGUGAUCUACCCAUGGCCAGGGUGAAGCGCCGGUAAGACGGCGUGGAGGCCCGAACCCACCAGGGUUGAAAACCUGGGGGAUGAGCUGUGGGUAGGGGUGAAAGGCCAAUCAAACUCCGUGAUAGCUGGUUCUCCCCGAAAUGCAUUUAGGUGCAGCGUCACGUGUUUCUUCCCGGAGGUAGAGCUACUGGAUGGCCGAUGGGCCCCACAAGGUUACUGACGUCAGCCAAACUCCGAAUGCCGGUGAGUGAGAGCGCGGCAGUGAGACUGCGGGGGAUAAGCUUCGUAGUCGAGAGGGAAACAGCCCAGAUCACCAGCUAAGGCCCCUGAAUGACCGCUCAGUGGUGAAGGAGGUAGGAGUGCAAAGACAGCCGGGAGGUUUGCCCAGAAGCAGCCAUCCUUGAAAGAGUGCGUAAUAGCUCACUGGUCAAGUGAUUCCGCGCCGACAAUGUAGCGGGGCUCAAGCGCACCGCCGAAGCCGCGGCAGCACCACGGACACCUAACGGUGGUGGUGCUGGGUAGGGGAGCGUCAUGCGGGUGGUGAAGCGGCGGAGUGAUCCAGCCGUGGACGCCACACGAGUGAGAAUGCAGGCAUGAGUAGCGAAAGACGGGUGAGAAACCCGUCCGCCGGAUGACCAAGGGUUCCAGGGUCAAGCUAAUCUGCCCUGGGUAAGUCGGGACCUAAGGCGAGGCCGACAGGCGUAGUCGAUGGACAACGGGUUGAUAUUCCCGUACCGGCGAAGGACCGCCCCUGCUGACCUGGUGAUACUAACCGCCCGAACCAUCCGUGACUUGCCCCUUCGGGGGUGAGCGUGUGGUGGGGAGCGCGGGACCUGAACCAGGAAGGCAAGCGUAUUAACAGGUGUGACGCAGGAAGGUAGCCGGGCCAGGCAAUGGAAUCGACCUGGUCUAAGGGUGUAGGGCUGCCGGUAGGUAAAUCCGCCGGCUGUAUGUCUGAGACCUGAUGGGCGCCCACCAUGUGGGUGAUCCGGUGAUCCUAUGCUGCCAAGAAAAGCAUCGACGCGAGGUCCCAGCCGCCCGUACCCCAAACCGACACAGGUGGUCAGGUAGAGAAUACCGAGGCGAUCGAGCGAACUGUGGUUAAGGAAUUCGGCAAAAUACCUCCGUAACUUCGGGAGAAGGAGGGCCGGUUGUCUUGAGGCUCCUUGCGGGCUAGGGACGGCCGGUCGCAGAGACCAGGCCCAAGCGACUGUUUACUAAAAACACAGGUCCGUGCGAAGUCGCAAGACGAUGUAUACGGACUGACGCCUGCCCGGUGCUGGAACGUUAAGAGGACCUGUUAACUCCUUUGUGGGGUGAAGCGGAGAAUUUAAGCGCCAGUAAACGGCGGUGGUAACUAUAACCAUCCUAAGGUAGCGAAAUUCCUUGUCGGGUAAGUUCCGACCUGCACGAAUGGAGUAACGACUUCCCCGCUGUCUCGACCACAGACUCGGCGAAAUUGCACUACGAGUAAAGAUGCUCGUUACGCGCGGCAGGACGGAAAGACCCCGGGACCUUCACUACAGCUUGGUAUUGGUGAGA